AGAUUGAACGCUGGCGGCAGGCCUAACACAUGCAAGUCGAGCGGUAGAGAGGUGCUUGCACCUCUUGAGAGCGGCGGACGGGUGAGUAAAGCCUAGGAAUCUGCCUGGUAGUGGGGGAUAACGCUCGGAAACGGACGCUAAUACCGCAUACGUCCUACGGGAGAAAGCAGGGGACCUUCGGGCCUUGCGCUAUCAGAUGAGCCUAGGUCGGAUUAGCUAGUUGGUGAGUAAUGGCUCACCAAGGCGACGAUCCGUAACUGGUCUGGAGAGGAUGAUCAGUCACACGUGGAACUGAGACGACGGUCCAGGUACUCCGUACGGGAGGCAGCAGGUGGGAAUAGUGGACAAGUGGGCAAAGCCUGAUCCAGCCAGUGCCGCGUGUGUAGAAGUAAGGUCUACGGAUUAG
rnacentral:rRNA from 1 species